AUUGAACGCUGGCGGCAGGCCUAACACAUGCAAGUCGAGCGCGCGGCGGACGGGUGAGUAAUGUAUGGGGACUGCCCCUUAUAGGGGGAUAACUCCUGGAACCGGUAGCUAAUACCCCAUACUAUCGGAUAACCCAUAUGGGAUUAGCGCGUAGGUGGGGUAAUGGCUCACCUAGGCGACGAUCCCUAGCUGGUCUGAGAGGAUGAUCAGCCACACUGGGACUGAGACACGGCCCAGACUCCUACGGAGGCAGCAGUGGGGAAUAUUGCACAAUGGGGGAAACCCUGAUCCAGCCAUCCCGCGUGUAUGAUGAAGGCCUUCGGGUUGUAAAGUACUUUUGGCAGAGAAGCGGUAUCUGCAGAAUAAGCACCGGCUAACUACGUGCCAGCAGCCGCGGUAAUAC
rnacentral:rRNA from 1 species